rnacentral:rRNA from 1 species
GGGGGAAUAUUGCACAAUGGGCGCAAGCCUGAUGCAGCCAUGCCGCGUGUGUGAAGAAGGCCUUCGGGUUGUAAAGCACUUUCAGCGGGGAGGAAGGCGGUGAGGUUAAUAACCUCAUCGAUUGACGUUACCCGCAGAAGAAGCACCGGUUAACUCCGUGCCAGCAGCCGCGGUAAUACGGAGGGUUCAAGCGUUAAUCGGAAGUACUGGGCGUAAAGCGCACGCAGGCGGUCUGUCAAGUCGGAGGUGAAAUCCCCGGGCUCAACCUGGGAAAUGCAUUCGAAACUGGCAGGCUAGAGUCUUGUAGAGGGGUGUAGAAUUCCAGGUGUAGCGGUGAAAUACGUAGAGAUCUGGAGGAAUACCGGUGGCGAAGGCGGCCCCCUGGACAAAGACUGACGCUCAGGUGCGAAAGCGUGGGGAGCAAACAGG